CCUAAUACAUGGCAAGUCGAGCGGACAGAUCGGGAGCUUGCUCCCUGAUGUCAGCGGCGGACGGGUGAGUAACACGUGGGUAACCUGCCUGUAAGACUGGGAUAACUCCGGGAAACCGGGGCUAAUACCGGAUGCUUGAUUGAACCGCAUGGUUCAAUUAUAAAAGGUGGCUUUUAGCUACCACUUACAGAUGGACCCGCGGCGCAUUAGCUAGUUGGUGAGGUAACGGCUCACCAAGGCAACGAUGCGUAGCCGACCUGAGAGGGUGAUCGGCCACACUGGGACUGAGACACGGCCCAGACUCCUACGGGAGGCAGCAGUAGGGAAUCUUCCGCAAUGGACGAAAGUCUGACGGAGCAACGCCGCGUGAGUGAUGAAGGUUUUCGGAUCGUAAAACUCUGUUGUUAGGGAAGAACAAGUACCGUUCGAAUAGGGCGGUACCUUGACGGUACCUAACCAGAAAGCCACGGCUAACUACGUGCCAGCAGCCGCGGUAAUACGUAGGUGGCAAGCGUUGUCCGGAAUUAUUGGGCGUAAAGCGCGCGCAGGCGGUUUCUUAAGUCUGAUGUGAAAGCCCCCGGCUCAACCGGGGAGGGUCAUUGGAAACUGGGGAACUUGAGUGCAGAAGAGGAGAGUGGAAUUCCACGUGUAGCGGUGAAAUGCGUAGAGAUGUGGAGGAACACCAGUGGCGAAGGCGACUCUCUGGUCUGUAACUGACGCUGAGGCGCGAAAGCGUGGGGAGCGAACAGGAUUAG
rnacentral:rRNA from 1 species